AUGGGGACUGCGCACUGUACCUAUACAUACAUUGCAACACUAAAGCUAGCUUUGAGAAGAGAAAAAAGGCAAGAGAAGAAGAAGAAGACGAACAGUGGCGGUUCAUCCGGUGGAAACAACCAAGGCAAGAAGAAGGGCAAGAAACGUGCGCUGACCGCUGAAGAGCUGAAAAACCGGCGGCUUGAGAACGUGCAGCCUACCUCUUGGGACGAUGAGUGGAUUGUAACACUGAACAUCACAGAUAAUGUGGUGGAGGAUGAAGACACUAGUAGCAUCGUGAGCAGUUUCUCGACAGACAGCCCCUUCUCGAUAGACGCCGAGGAGGAGACUGACAAGGAGGAGGCUGACAAUGAGGAGGAGGAGGAGGAGGAUGAAGAGGAGGCUGACAAUGAGGAUGAGGAGGAGGAGGUGGAGGCUGACGGAGACGGUGACAAGAAAAAGGAGGAUCAGACUGACGACGACAACGGCGACCAGACUGACGAUGACAACGGCGAGGACCUCAGCUAG
rnacentral:rRNA from 1 species